rnacentral:lncRNA from 1 species
GCAGGGUCUUGAACGCUGAGCCAGUGGACCGUUAGUGGUCCUACUUAGUCAUUGGUCAGCGCCGCGCUGGACCCGCCCACAAGCAACCGUCAAAGAGCCGCCAGUUAGCGAGUGCGUUGAGUCAACGGUGGGCCUGCGCAAAGUGGCGGUCUUCAUACAGAGAGCAAGGCAGAGAAGAAGGUUCAAAGGCCCAGAACUAGCAUGUGUGGCUGGAGUGUAACCUCUCUGGGGUACAAACAGGGCAAGAGAUGUGACAGAGAAGCCGACCAGGUCACAGAGUGCCCUCCUCACAGUCCAAAGGACAAUGCGCAGAGAGAAUUAUGCCUGUCUCUGAAACCAGUGUCCCCUCUGGGGUUGUGAAAAUCACCAUGAAGAAACUGAAUGAAAUGACCCUUGAAGUUUGGAUUUGAUUUCUGGAAGUAGCCCAAAUAAUUGGAGCCAAGCCAGGUGAAUAAAUUGGUUAAUGAAGUUGGAUAACUGUUUUGGUUUUGUAACUGGCUGCCUAUUCACUGCAUGAACUCAUUUCAUUGGUCCAGUUUUGCCAUAUGGCAACAACAGAAAACUUCUCUUCCUUUUCUGUUACUUGCUUUCCUCACCUAAGCAACAGAGAGAGUAACCAUAAUCCAUCUAUCACAGGGAAAAGCCACCAAAGUUUAUAAGGUCAUAUCUCUAAAACGUUCCCGUGAAUAUGCCACAGUGCAAAUAUAGGAGACUAUUAUUGUUACUGCUGGCUUAUGUAGAAACAGUUACUCAUCACUUAUGUACUUCUUGGCAGGGCUUUCAAUCUCCCUCAUCCAGCCCCAUAUAGAUACACAUGGAGGAAACUCCUAGAAUUUCCGCAUCAGUUACCCUUGGCUGGUUUUAUUUUGUUAAACAUGAGGAGAGGUAGGAGGGAGGGAGAGAGGGAAAGAGAUAGAGAGGGAAGGAAAGAGAUGAACGCAUGGAAAUGAGUCUGACCUUUAAAAAUCUGUUACAACAAAAAAAACUCUUAAUGAAAGUGGGACUUUAAGCUAAACUUAUCCAUGUCCAUAGAUUUCCAUGAGGUUUUAAGACCGAAAGGCUCAGAUCUCCU